ACGCUGGCGGCAGGCCUAACACAUGCAAGUCGAGCGGAAACGACACUAACAAUCCCUCGGGUGCGUUAAUGGGCGUCGAGCGGCGGACGGGUGAGUAAUGCCUAGGAAAUUGCCUUGAUGUGGGGGAUAACCAUUGGAAACGAUGGCUAAUACCGCAUGAUGCCUACGGGCCAAAGAGGGGGACCUUCGGGCCUCUCGCGUCAAGAUAUGCCUAGGUGGGAUUAGCUAGUUGGUGAGGUAAUGGCUCACCAAGGCGACGAUCCCUAGCUGGUCUGAGAGGAUGAUCAGCCACACUGGAACUGAGACACGGUCCAGACUCCUACGGGAGGCAGCAGUGGGGAAUAUUGCACAAUGGGCGAAAGCCUGAUGCAGCCAUGCCGCGUGUAUGAAGAAGGCCUUCGGGUUGUAAAGUACUUUCAGUUGUGAGGAAGGGUGUGUAGUUAAUAGCUGCGCAUCUUGACGUUAGCAACAGAAGAAGCACCGGCUAACUCCGUGCCAGCAGCCGCGGUAAUACGGAGGGUGCGAGCGUUAAUCGGAAUUACUGGGCGUAAAGCGCAUGCAGGUGGUUCAUUAAGUCAGAUGUGAAAGCCCGGGGCUCAACCUCGGAACUGCAUUUGAAACUGGUGAACUAGAGUACUGUAGAGGGGGGUAGAAUUUCAGGUGUAGCGGUGAAAUGCGUAGAGAUCUGAAGGAAUACCAGUGGCGAAGGCGGCCCCCUGGACA
rnacentral:rRNA from 1 species